GCAAGUCGAACGAACCUUCGGGUUAGUGGCGGACGGGUGAGUAACGCGUGAGAAUCUGCCCUCAGGAGGGGGAUAACGGCUGGAAACGGCCGCUAAUACCCCAUAUACCGAGAGGUGAAAUGAAUUUCGCCUGAGGAUGAGCUCGCGUCUGAUUAGCUAGUUGGUGUGGUAAUGGCUCACCAAGGCUUCGAUCAGUAGCUGGUCUGAGAGGAUGAUCAGCCACACUGGGACUGAGACACGGCCCAGACUCC
rnacentral:rRNA from 1 species